rnacentral:sRNA from 1 species
CCCGGUUCUCCUUCCCGCGGUCUGCAGCCGGAGUAAGAUGGCGGCGCUGAGGGCUUUGUGCGGCUUCCGGGGCGUCGCGGCCCAGGUGCUGCGGCCUGGGGCUGGAGUCCGAUUGCCGAUUCAGCCCAGCAGAGGUGUUCGGCAGUGGCAGCCAGAUGUGGAAUGGGCACAGCAGUUUGGGGGAGCUGUUAUGUACCCAAGCAAAGAAACAGCCCACUGGAAGCCUCCACCUUGGAAUGAGACAGAGUCUUGCUAUGUUGACCAGGCUGGUUUCAAACUCCUGGCCUCAGAUGUGGACCCUCCAAAGGACACAAUUGUGAAGAACAUGACCCUGAACUUUGGGCCCCAACACCCAGCAGCGCAUGGUGUCCUGCGACUAGUGAUGGAAUUGAGUGGGGAGAUGGUGCGGAAGUGUGAUCCUCACAUCGGGCUCCUGCACCGAGGCACUGAGAAGCUCAUUGAAUACAAGACCUAUCUUCAGGCCCUUCCAUACUUUGACCGGCUAGACUAUGUGUCCAUGAUGUGUAACGAACAGGCCUAUUCUCUAGCUGUGGAGAAGUUGCUAAACAUCCGGCCUCCUCCUCGGGCACAGUGGAUCCGAGUGCUGUUUGGAGAAAUCACACGUUUGUUGAACCACAUCAUGGCUGUGACCACACAUGCCCUGGACCUUGGGGCCAUGACCCCUUUCUUCUGGCUGUUUGAAGAAAGGGAGAAGAUGUUUGAGUUCUACGAGCGAGUGUCUGGAGCCCGAAUGCAUGCUGCUUAUAUCCGGCCAGGAGGAGUGCACCAGGACCUACCCCUUGGGCUUAUGGAUGACAUUUAUCAGUUUUCUAAGAACUUCUCUCUUCGACUUGAUGAGUUGGAGGAGUUGCUGACCAACAAUAGGAUCUGGCGAAAUCGGACAAUUGACAUUGGGGUUGUAACAGCAGAAGAAGCACUUAACUAUGGUUUUAGUGGAGUGAUGCUUCGGGGCUCAGGCAUCCAGUGGGACCUGCGGAAGACCCAGCCCUAUGAUGUUUACGACCAGGUUGAGUUUGAUGUUCCUGUUGGUUCUCGAGGG